AAAUGGAGAAGGUGAAGCAAUAUUGUUCCAUUAACUCCAAGAAAGGUCAAGAGGUUGUCACCUUGGUGACCAUCCCCUAGGUGGCAAGGUGUUGGGGUGCUAGGAAGAAGGUGGAGGCUGACCAAUUCCCUCAUCUGACAGGUUGUGUGAACAUAAGGAUUGGCUCUCAAGAUGAAGCAGCCAUUUGAAGCUUCCAAAGACCACUCGAGCAUGACCAUUCAUUAAGAAUUUCAAUUUUGACAGAAGCAGAUGUAACAGGUUUCUUUUUAUCUCUGUUGUUCAUAAAAAAAAACUGCCUAAAGAAGGGUGAAUCUUCUCUGUUAGCCCCUUAACGGGAUAAGACAUUCGAAUUAAGAAAAUGAA
rnacentral:lncRNA from 1 species